rnacentral:misc_RNA from 1 species
UUUCCGUAGGUGAACCUGCGGAAGGAUCAUUAUCAAAAGUCAAGUCGGGGGCUGUAAAGCUCUCGUCUACACCCAUGUCUUUUGCGUACUCUUGUUUCCUCGGUGGCGCAAGCUGCCGAUUGGACAAACCAAAACCUAUUUAAUUUUCAAUCAGCGUCUGAAAAAAAUUAAUAAUUACAACUUUCAACAACGGAUCUCUUGGUUCUG